CCAUUUCACAUUGAAAAACCGGUUUUCGUGCGAUCACUAAAGUUAAGCAGCAUCGAUCCUGGUCAUUACUUAGAUGGGUGACCGCUUGGGAAUACCAGCUGAUGUA